rnacentral:sRNA from 1 species
UUUCUGAAGGAACAAAUUUUAGCAGGUCCUUAUUCUGCCAUUCCUGCAAUCACUGCAAGAAAGCAUUUAUUUUGAUAAGACUUAAUUACACAUUGACUUUGUUUCUUUUUCAUAUAUCAAAUAAAAAGUUGUACUGUGCUUUUAAAAUGUUAUUUUUAUGUCCAUUAUAUUAUUCGAAUUAUCAUUUUAACAAAAUCUGGUUUGCACAUUACAGUUUGAAAAGUGUUGGUCUAUUUCAUACUGCCAUUGUGACAGAUCACUUUAGUUUACAUCUUACUUAUAUUGUAAAUUGUAAGCAAUCAGAACCCCUCCUUACCCCAAGUUGGAUAAAAUACUUUCAAAUGGGGAACUGUGAACAUCUGAGGAAAGUGAUUCUUAGUGUUGGCAUUAGAAACACCCACCCAGAAGAACUUUUACAAAUAUGCAUUCAUGUACUACACCCCAGGCAGGUCUACUUUCAAUCUUAAGGAAGUAAGUAUGUAUUUUUAAAAUCAAGCUAUUUUUCAAGUUCCAUAGACAAUUCUGUUAGAUAAUCUAUACUAAGAACUACUGAUGCAUAGAAAAGUUUAUUAUUGUUGUUUUUGUUUUUUUGAAGGAGUUUUGCUCUGUUGCCCAGGCUGGAGUGCAGUGGCUUGAUCUCGGCUCACUACAAGCUGCGCCUCCUGGGUUCAUGCCAUUCUCCUGCCUCAGCCUCCCGAGUAGCUGGGACUACAGAUGCCUGCCACCACGCCCAGCUAAUUUUUUGUAUUUUUAGUAGAGAUGGGGUUUCAUCAUGUUAGCCAGUAUGGUCUCGAUCUCCUGACCUCGUGAUCCGCCCGCCUCGGCCUCCCAAAGUGCUGGGAUUACAGGCGCGAGCCACCGUGCCUGGCCUAGAAAAGUGUAUUACCUUUUUAACAUCAUUAUUCUUUACUCCAUUUUUAGUUUUGAAUUGCAGUGUUUGACCUUAAAAGUUUUAUAUUACAAUUUUUUUAAUUAGUUUUUUAUUUUUUCCAAGAGACUUCUAAUUAAAAGGGAAUCGUAAAUAAAAGCACUGUGCUUGCCUUUUGUGCUUUUAUUAAAGUGAAAUCUCUACAAUCUUUCCUAAGCUGUUAAUCAUUGUUUACUAAUGAACAUAAACCACUUCCUAAUUAUUCAGACUCAAGAAUGUUUUUCUAGAGGGUAUUGGGGUAGGCAAAGAAAACCAGGAGAGUUUGUAACAAACAGUAUGUGGGAUUUUUUUAGAUGUGUUCAAUUUGAAAGUAACUUGUGAAACAACUGGUGAUAUUUUGGUAUAAGACGUUUUGAAAGUUAUUUGUUUAUUUCUAAGGAUAACAAAGCUGAUGUAAUUUUAAAGUACAAUGCAGAUGAAGCUAGAAGCCUGAAGGCAUAUGGCGAGCUUCCAGAACAUGGUAAUAUCAAAAUGAUUUUAUCUCCUCAUUAUUUGAUAUUAAUGUUUGUUGGUAUUUAGAUGAAGGUAUUUCCGUAGAACUCUUGUUUUACAUACUGUUUUAGUGUACACUUAAAAAUUUGUUCUAAGUAGUCUUGCCUAUACUUCAGUAUACUUAUGAUACUUUGGAAAAGGUAUUAAUAACUGGAAAUCUCUAAUAAAAACGUUAUGAACUUGAAAGUAGAAGUCUCUAAUAAAGAGAUUAUGAAUUAUGAAAGUUCCUUUAGUGACGACUUUAUAAAUUCAUAAGCUCUGGAUUUGUAUAUAAGAUCUGUCAAAGAAAUACGUUUUUUAUAGUGUUUUUCUAAACAGUUCUCAAGACUGGCAGUUUUCAUUUAAGCAGAGGCAACAAAUGUAAUACUAAUGUUUGAUUAUUAUAGAAAAAAGUAUUCAUCUUAGCAAAGUUUUAACUAUGGGAUUAUUUUUAACAAACAUUUGUGUUUUCUUUUUCUUAAAGACAAACACAAUGCAUACUUACUGCCGAAAGCUUGACAAGAUUAAAAUAAGUCCCUCAUGACACCAUCAAAGAGAAUAUGCACUGUUGUAAAGCCUGCAUAUUUUACUUGGCAGCUGUUUUCAUUAUUUAUCAUAUUGCAUUUUAUGAAAAGAUUUUUAUAUAAACAUGAAGAUCCUGAUGAAAUUAUUGGCAUUUCAGGAAGUGCUGAAAUGUUAUUGGAAGUGAUGAAAUUAUUGGCAUUUCAGGAAGUGCUGAAAGUUUCGCUUUCAUUACUUGGGGAUAAGCAUGAUCAUGAUUUAACCAAGUAUUUCUCACUGAUUUGAUAAGUCUGUUUAAAUAAUUGGUUAACUAGUUGUUGUAAUUUCAAGAGAACUUUAUGUAUUUUGAGGAUAAGUUGUUAACCUGUGCUCAAAUCCUUUUUGAAGGCUACAUGGAAAUGGUUGGCUAUUGAGUUAGCAUAAUCAGAGUCUGCCUACCAUACUUAAAGUACCUUUUGUAUAUGUGCUAAGUGAGAAUUAAAAAUACCUUUUAAAAACAAAUGAAAAAUACAGCACAAUACGGCACAUUCGUUCUUUGUUUUUUGAAACAGAGUCUUGCUCUGUCACCCAGGCAGGAGUGCAGUGGCACCAUCUCAGCUCCCUGCAUUCUACGCCUGCCAAGUUCAAGCUAUUUUCCUGCCUCACCCUCUGCACCCUCUGAGACUACAGACAUUUGCCACCAUACCUGGUUAAUUUUUUAUUUUUUUAUUUUUAGUAGAGACCAGGUUUCACCAUGUUGGCUAGGCUGGUCUCGAACUCCUGAUCUCAAGUGAUCUGCCUACCAUGGCCUCCCAAAUUGGUGGGACUACAGGUUAUAUAAUCAGUAUGUCUGUUAUUGUACCUUUAGCUAAAAUCAAUGAAACAGACACAUUUGGUCCUGGAGAUGAUGAUGAAGUCCAGUUUGAUGAUAUUGGAGAUGAUGAUGAAGACAUUGAUGAUAUCUAAAUUGAACCAAGUGUUUUUACAUUACAAGUUCUCUGAGGAUGGUUCUACAGUUGGGAUUUUGGCCAUCAUCAAUUAAGAAGAGAAAUUCAUUUAGUGUGUAGUUUCUGAAAGCAAACUGAUUUAUUUUCAUUGUUUUAAAGUAUUUAUUUCUUUAAAAGCUGAGGACACUGAAUUAUCUUAAGUUAAAUGUUAAUACUUUAUUGUUUUGAUGUAAUGCAACUUAAAGAUAAAAGACCUAAUAUUUGCUGUUAAAAUAAAUAAACGAAUGCCUUUCCUACUGUGA